rnacentral:rRNA from 1 species
UGAGUACGAGAUGCUACGGCGUCGAAGCAGUCUAGGUCAUACUUCCAAGAAAAGCUUGCACUGUCAUAAACAAAGAAUGCCUGUACCAUAACCGACACAGGUGGGUAGGUAGAGUAUACUAAGGGGCGCGAGAUAACUCUCUCUAAGGAACUCGGCAAAAUGACUCCGUAACUUCGGGAGAAGGAGUGCCUUAUUUUUAAGGUUGCAAUAACAAGAUCCAAGCAACUGUUUACCAAAAACACAGGUCUCCGCUAAGUCGUAAGACGAUGUAUGGGGGCUGACGCCUGCCCAGUGCCAGAAGGUUAAAGAAGUUGGUUAGCAUUUGCGAAGCUGAUAACUGAAGCCCUGGUGAACGGCGGCCGUAACUAUAACGGUCCUAAGGUAGCGAAAUUCCUUGUCGGGUAAGUUCCGACCCGCACGAAAGGCGUAAUGAUUUGGAUACUGUCUCGGAGAGGGGCUCGGUGAAAUAGACUUGUCUGUGAAGAUGCGGACUACCUGCACCUGGACAGAAAGACCCUAUGAAGCUUUACUGUAACUUGAGAUUGAAAUUGGACUUUAUUUGCGCAGUAUAGGUGGGAGGCGUUGAGAAUAAUCUUGCGGGAUUAUCGGAGCCAUCAGUGAGAUACCACUCUUGUAAUGUUAGAUUUCUAACUUUGUAUCAUUAUCUGGUCAAAGAACAGUUUCAGGCGGGCAGUUUGACUGGGGCGGUCGCCUCCCAAAGGGUAACGGAGGCGCACAAAGGUUUCCUCUGAACGGGUAGAAAUCGUAUCUAGAGUGUAAAGGCAUAAGGAAGCUUGACUGUGAGACCUACAAGUCGAGCAGGGACGAAAGUCGGUCUUAGUGAUCUGACGGUGCUGAGUGGAAAGGCCGUCACUCAACGGAUAAAAGUUACUCUAAGGAUAACAGGCUGAUCUCCCCCAAGAGUUCACAUCGACGGGGAGGUUUGGCACCUCGAUGUCGGCUCAUCGCAUCCUGGGGCGGUAGUACGUCCCAAGGGUUGGGCUGUUCGCCCAUGAAAGCGGUACGCGAGCUGGGUUCAGAACGUCGUGAGACAGUUCGGUCCAUAUCCGGUGUAGGCGUUAGAAUAUUGAAAGGAGCCUUCUCUAGUACGAGAGGACCGAGAAGGACAUACCUCUGGUGUGCCAGUUAUCGUGCCAACGGUAAACGCUGGGUAGCUAUGUAUGGAGUGGAUAACCGCUGAAAGCAUCUAAGUGGGAAGCCCACCUUAAGAUAAGUAUUCUCAUC